GGCAAUUAUCUUCUGGCGAAGCUUUGUCAGAAUGGAUGGUAUACUUAUAAUGUUUAUUACCCUGAUGUGCUCAGCAUUGAAUUCAGAAGUGAUGCAGAGAUUUCAGAUUUUGGUUUCCAAGCAUCAUACUACUCAUACCCUCAAGUUACCUUUUCUACAACAACACCACAACCAGUUACCAAUUAUGCAUGUGGAAAUAUACUUACCGAUUCUUCAGGCUGGAUAAGCAGCCCCAGUUAUCCAUACAAUUACCCAAGUAAU